AAAAAAAAAAAAAGAUAAAGAAAAAACCUGCUCUUUCUUAUCAAAAAGCUUUCGAACAUUGUCGACGUGUUUACACUCGAAAUCGCUUCAAGCGUGCUCACGUCAACUCCGCAAGGAGUGCAUGCGUGACAAGACACGGACGCUCACAAGUGUCCUUCAAAACUCCUUGCAGAAAUGAAAACUGUUAUCGGUGAUCAGCGCGACUGGACGGGAAGUCAUUUGAGAAAUGCUUUAAACUGGCAAGAGAAAGAAAGACAUACGCAGGCAGACAAACACGCACAUACUCACUGAGUGGGAGAGGGGGAAAAGUAUAGAAGAUGAAUGGAGACGAUGGUGAAACCUUAACCAAAUUCCAAAAACCUAUAACAUGAGAAGCAGGAAACGGCCACAGAGCUCUCAGGACAUUGGCCUCAAG